UUUUGUUUAAUAUUUUUGUAAAUAAUAUAAUUAAUUCACUAAUAAGUAUAAGUAAAAUACAGACCGUUCUUAGAGCAAGUGGCAAAGUGCUUGGUGGUUGGUACUCGAGACCCAAGUUGGAAUCCUAGUUUAUUCAUAUUUUUCAGCUAAGUUUAUUUCUAAAUGAAAUAAACGAAGCUCGAAUCCUAGUUGAUUCACAUUUUUCAGCUAAAUUUAUUUCUAAAUGAAAUAAACGAAGCGGGUAGCUUGCUACCUAUCUCUCAAAAAAAAAUAAGUAUAA
rnacentral:lncRNA from 1 species